AGGGAGGUAUUCCUUAUCGGUACUCAAUUUUAUUUUAUUUUAUUAUGUAUUUAUUUUUGAGACGGAGUCUCACCCUGUAGCCCAUGCUGGAGUGCAAUGGCACGAUCUCGGCUCACUGCAACCUCCGCCUCCUGGGUUCAAGUGAUUCUCCUGCCUCAGCCUCCCAAGUAGCUGGGAUUACAGGCACCUGCCACCACGCCUGACUAAUUUUUUGUAUUUUUAGUAGAGACAGAGUUUCACCAUGGUGGCAAGGCUGGUCUCAAACUCCUGACCUUGUGAUCUGCCCGCCUCGGCCUCCCAAAGUGCUGGAAUUACAGGCGUGAGCCCCUGCGCCCGGCCAUCAAUUUUAUUUUUUAGAAAAGGUUGGACUAGCUGGAAAAACAGGCAAAAGGCAUAAGAUGAUGAAGCCCAGUGGAAGUGAAUGCCAUCUGGAGGGUUCUCGUUUUUUUUUACAUUUCUUCCUCAAGUUAGUUAAUGGAUAUAGAAAGCUAGCUGAACUGUGUACCUGGUAAAAGUAGGCCCAGGAAAACAAAAGUCAGAAAAAGAUUAAUCAAGAAGCCAGAGACAUCUAUUUGCCUUUGAGAAAAUAAGGAUUAUUACAAAGAAAGCCCAAGACAAAGUCAAAGUUCAGCUUUUGAAAUAGAAACUAGGAUUUUUGAGUCUGAGCAAGACAGUAGGCUUAAAAGCCAGGCUUUGUUGAGAAAGGGUUUUCUGAAUUCUUUUAGCUCCCAUUGGCAUAUCUUGGGGGGAAACAGGGGAGGAAGUUGAAAUCUUCAAGAGAGAGCAUCUCCAGUAGAAACCAUACUCCCAGUGAGAUGACUAUAUUUAAACAGAAAGAGGCCAAAUAAGAGCCUUUCAAUUGAUAGAU
rnacentral:lncRNA from 1 species